AAGAAAGAUUGCUAUUGGAAUCUGCGUCACUCGUGCUCGCCAUGAUGUGCGGUCUGAUACGGAACACGGAAGCUGUCCAUGUUUCUCCAGAUUGCCUUACCGGUCCUGGCAACGGAUGCUUGCCGGUGCUGUGACAUGUUCUCGGAACUACUGUGUGGGUCGAGGCUUGUUUUGACAAAUGUCACAAACGUGAUAACACUGUGUCGUAGAACUGGAUCCACCGAUUAUG